rnacentral:rRNA from 1 species
GAUGAACGCUGGCGGCGUGCCUAAUACAUGCAAGUCGAGCGAAUGGAUUAAGAGCUUGCUCUUAUGAGGUCAGCGGCGGACGGGUGAGUAACACGUGGGUAACCUGCCCAUAAGACUGGGAUAACUCCGGGAAACCGGGGCUAAUACCGGAUAACAUUUUGAACCGCAUGGUUCGAAAUUGAAAGGCGGCUUCGGCUGUCACUUAUGGAUGGACCCGCGUCGCAUUAGCUAGUUGGUGAGGUAACGGCUCACCAAGGCAACGAUGCGUAGCCGACCUGAGAGGGUGAUCGGCCACACUGGGACUGAGACACGGCCCAGACUCCUACGGGAGGCAGCAGUAGGGAAUCUUCCGCAAUGGACGAAAGUCUGACGGAGCAACGCCGCGUGAGUGAUGAAGGCUUUCGGGUCGUAAAACUCUGCUGUUAGGGAAGAACAAGUGCUAGUUGAAUAAGCUGACACCUUGACGGUACCUAACCAGAAAGCCACGGCUAACUACGUGCCAGCCGCCGCCGUAA